GGCCCUAUGGGGUGCAGCAGGCGAGAAAACUUUGCAAUGUGCGAAAGCACGACAAGGUUAAUCCGAGUGGUUUCUGCUAAAGGAACCUUUUGUUAGUCAUAGAACCACUAAUGAAUAAGGGGUGGGCAAGUUCUGGUGUCAGCCGCCGCGGUAAAACCAGCACCUCAAGUGGUCAGGAUGAUUAUUGGGCCUAAAGCAUCCGUAGCCUGCUUUGUAAGUUUUCGGUUAAAUCCAUACGCUCAACGUAUGGGCUGCCGGGAAUACUGCAAAGCUAGGGAGUGGGAGAGGUAGACGGUACUCGGUAGGAAGGGGUAAAAUCCUUUGAUCUAUUGAUGACCACCUGUGGCGAAGGCGGUCUACCAGAACACGUCCGACGGUGAGGGAUGAAAGCUGGGGGAGCAAACCGGAUUAGAUACCCGGGUAGUCCCAGCUGUAAACUAUGCAAACUCGGUGAUGCAUUGGCUUGAUGCCAAUGCAGUGCCGCAGGGAAGCCGUUAAGUUUGCCGCCUGGGAAGUACGGUCGCAAGUAUGAAACUUAAAGGAAUUGGCGGGGGAGCAC
rnacentral:rRNA from 1 species